AUUGAACGCUGGCGGAAUGCUUUACACAUGCAAGUCGAACGGCAGCACGGGGGCAGCCCUGGUGGCGAGUGGCGAACGGGUGAGUAAUACAUCGGAACGUGCCCGGUCGUGGGGGAUAACGUAGCGAAAGUUACGCUAAUACCGCAUACGAUCUGAGGAUGAAAGCGUUGGACCUUCGGGCCUCGCGCGAUCGGAGCGUCCGAUGUCAGAUUAGGUAGUUGGUGGGGUAAAGGCCUACCAAGCCGACGAUCUGUAGCUGGUCUGAGAGGACGACCAGCCACACUGGGAAUGAGACACGGCCCAGACUCCUACGGGAGGCAGCAGUGGGGAAUUUUGGACAAUGGGCGCAAGCCUGAUCCAGACAUUCCGCGUGAAGGACGAAGGCCUUCGGGUUGUAAACUGCUUUUGUACGGAACGAAAAGGCUCUGGCUAAUACCGGGGGCUCAUGACGGUACCGUAAGAAUAAGCACCGGCUAACUACGUG
rnacentral:rRNA from 1 species